CGUACUGUGUGAAUCACUUAUAUAUGUGCCUUGUGUUCGAUUUAUAGCGAUUGGAUUGUUACGAAACGACAAAUUUGAUUGACGCAUACAGCGAAAAUAACUAUAAGUGAUCGUUAUUCUAUAGAAAAUUCGAUGUCGUCGUAAGUUCCAGAAAUAAGUCAUCCUUUCAAAAUGUCCAGCGGAGAGCUUAUUUUAGCUGCAUUUUUCGUCACUUUUUCAGCGUAAACUGUAAACAAGUUUGGAUUUGGUGAGCUGAGCGAUGCAAGUGGUUUGCUUUGGCAAAUUAAUUUCCAACGCUUUUGGCGCGUGGCGCGCUUUUUCUGGAACGUCUCACUCUCAAUACGGCGCAAACAGGACGAAUCGAUUUACUCACAAUAUUUAUUAAUAAAACCCCAUGUGUGUUUACACCACA